rnacentral:rRNA from 1 species
AGCAAACGCUGGCGGCAGGCCUAACACAUGCAAGUCGAACGGAUCCUUCGGGAUUAGUGGCGGACGGGUGAGUAACACGUGAGAACGUGCCCUUUGGUUCGGAACAACUCAGGGAAACUUGAGCUAAUACCGGAUGUGCCCUUCGGGGGAAAGAUUUAUCGCCAUUGGAGCGGCCCGCGUCUGAUUAGCUAGUUGGUGAGGUAAAGGCUCACCAAGGCGACGAUCAGUAGCUGGUCUGAGAGGAUGAUCAGCCACAUUGGGACUGAGACACGGCCCAAACUCCUACGGGAGGCAGCAGUGGGGAAUCUUGCGCAAUGGGCGAAAGCCUGACGCAGCCAUGCCGCGUGAAUGAUGAAGGUCUUAGGAUUGUAAAAUUCUUUCACCGGGGACGAUAAUGACGGUACCCGGAGAAGAAGCCCCGGCUAACUUCGUGCCAGCCGCCGCAGUAAAAA